rnacentral:lncRNA from 1 species
UUAGCACGGAUUUAGCUGCUUAAAACAAUGUAUUUUUAUUUCAGUUUUUUUGGAUUGGGUACAGCUAAAUCCUCUGCUCAGGAUCCUAUCAUCUGACUGCAACAAGCUAUCAUCCAGCUGUGGCGGACUUGGGCCUGAGUCUGUGGUUGUUGCCAGACUUCAGAGGUCUCUGUCCUUUGCUGGCUGUCAAUGGGACCACUCUCAGCUCCUAGAGGUCAGCUCAGCACAUGAGCUGCCCUCUCACAAGAAAGCCAGUUCUUCAAGGCAAGUAGGAGAAGCACUUUUUAAAAUCUGGGGAGUCAAGCCCAGCCAGAACAAUUGCCCUUCUGAUGAACUCAUCAUCAACUCAUUCAGAACCUUAACUACAUGUGGAACAUUCCUUUGCCAUGUAAUUGUGACCUCACCUUCACUACCUUCCAUUGGCUGGAAAUCAAAACCACAGGUUCUGCCCCCACUCCAGGGGUGGGGCUACAAAGAACCAACCCCAGGGGAUAGAGGCCACAGGCUAAGAAUGCUGCCUACUGCACACAUGAGCCAGAUACUGAAGACUGACCACCUAUGUUGCUGAUUUCAUGAGGGCAUUGCUGACUGCCUCUUUUCUUCGAGCCCCUUCAGUCUUUCCUGUGUUAGAAAAUCCACUGCCCAUCCAUCCAGCGGGCCCCACUCUUAUCCUGGUUCAACCUCUUUUUCCUCAAGCACUGGUGCAGCAAGUUUUAGCAACACUUUCUAUCAACAUACCCAUGAUCUGCGUAUUGCCCCCAUUUCCAUUUCUCCCAUGCUAGUGCAAGCCUACCGUGAACUCUCUCUUCUGCACUUGUGCAAAAAUCUGACUCCAGAAGUUCUGUAAAGGACAGACUGAGAGAGCAUCCAGAUGGGG